rnacentral:lncRNA from 1 species
AUGACAGUAACUAGAUCAGUCUUGUGCAACCUGCAGUGCACUAUCCAAAGAGGAAGGGCAAGUUGUUGGAAAUAUUCUCUUUCUUCAGCCCAAAGAGAGAAGCCCCACAUGCUCUACGCUUUGGUGCUUCUCAUAGGGUGCAGACGCAGCUCACGCGCACACGCAGCGGACGGCUCCCCGAGCCCCGCGCAGCACCGCCGCUCCCGCCGCCCGCAGCAGCUCAGCCCCAUCCCGCAGCUCCGAGCUCCGCCCGCGCUUCCGCCGCGCGCCCUUCGGACCGAGCCGCCCUCGUGCGCCGCGGCCACGGCGAGAAGAUGCCGCCCGCGCGGCUGCGGCGGGACGGGGCGGCAGCGCCCAUCCGCGGCGGCGGGAGGAGCUACCCGAGGUGCCGCUGCCCGGCCGGGGCGCUCCUCCCGGCGGGCCCGGCCCCGCGGCGCGCACGGCGGCCCGUCGAGCAGUCCCCUAGCGAGCACCCAUCGCCGCCGCGCCGGCUGCUCCCCGGGGCCCGGCGCCGCGCAGCCGGGCGGCAGGGAACAUGGCGCGGGGAGAGGAGCGGCGGCAGGAAUCUGGAGAUUGUGUUUCUGA